rnacentral:tRNA from 2 species
CGGGGUGUGUCGCAUGGCGCGCGAGCUGGCUGUAACCCAGCUGUCUUCGGACGUCGGAGGUUCGAUUCCUUCCACCCUGA